AAUUAAACUCAGAGAACCUGAGACCGUCUCAAUUAACAUGACAAGAUGUAGUAGUCUUGGAGAAAAUUAAGGUGAAGAUCCUUAUAGUCUAUUUUCAUUUUGAAUUAGGUCUUUUUAUUUUUUUAUUUAUUAGAUCCUUGAACUUUCCAAGGUUAAAUCCGUUACUCCCCUAAGGGUUAAAUCUGUUAAAUAAGCAUUAAUGUUGUUACUAGUUUCCGCUAGCCACCUUUGAAACAUCACCUUUUCUCUCCCUCCACCGUGGCGCUGGGAUCAUGCAAACCUUGUUCUCUCCUUGGCUCAUUCCCAACACCAUGUCUCUUUUCACCAUCCUCUCAGCCAGUAAAUGACUUUCCUACUCUACAUAACACCUUUGCUUUCCUUGGUCACAAAGUCACUGGAAUCCUCUACAGCCAUCUCCGCGGCCACCUUCCCUUCGCCAUCCAGCUCGACUCCUGUCAGACAGUCAUGUAACAGAACAACAUGAGAGGGAAAAAAAAAGAUAACCUAAAAGCUUGGAAGAGCUUAGAGUGAGGAAUACAUUUGGAGAAUGAUGAGAUGAAAAGGUGUCUCUAAACUCAAUAUAUGUAAGACAUAUAAAGCAGCACGAAAUAUAAUUUUAACUUCAGUAUAUAUCAUCUUUACUUGUAAAAUUAUGUAUAUUAUAUAUUACUUUAUAUAGAAUUACAUGAAAAAGAAUGUAAGUGUUAGUAGGAGCAUGUAUUAUAUAUAGGAUGGUCACAUUAAGGAAGAAAUUGAAACAAUAUAUGCGGAGAGUAUAUGAAUAAAGAAUUUAAAACAAAAAAAGUGAAGGACGGACUCCCUUGUUUUAGUAUUAAAAAACAGGUUAGAGACUAGUUUUAGCUGCCUCUUAUUAUUCAUUAUUAUUUUUUAUUUUCAGAAGCAUCCCAACAACCAUUAAUGCCGGCGUCAUGAUGACACCAUCAUCACCAUCCACUGUAACAACAUUUCUUUCUUUUAAACUUGCCAAAAAGUGGGUCAGAAUUCCUUCCACACAAUUUUCCUUCGUGGGGUGUUUCAUUAAGAGGACCCAAAGCUCUUCUCCAGGGACAGAUUGGAGAGUAUAAACUCUAGCAGCUCUUUCUGUUCAGCCUCUAAAACUACAGACGUGGACGAUGGUGAUGAGGACAUUAGCGGCUUCCGACUUGACCUUAAAGCACCUGGAAUGUAUUUCUUCGCAGCUUUCUAUAAUCUGGAGUGGCACGAAUGAAGGAGAGAGGAGUGCUUGCUUAGAUAUGGAGUUAUGGCGAAAGGAGGAGAUGUUUCAGUCAUUCCUAAUGAAAAUCAUUGACGGCAUUCAUGUUUAUUCGACAGCAGGUACUAACAGAGCCUAACAGUAGAAAGUUAAAAGAUCUAUUAAAGAGUAGAAAAAGCACAAGGACAUCUAAAAUAGAAGGAAACUGUAAGGA